UUUGCGAUCAUUUUGUUUUUGUUUUAGGGAAGGUACAUCUUAGUUAUGUAGCUUUGCCUUAAAGAUGCUUUUUUUGCUCUGUAUUGUCUCUUUUAUGACAGUUAUUGAGCAGUUACAUAGAAUUUAGUAAAAUUAUAAUGUAUUUUAAAGGACUUUCUAGGUAAUUGUAGUGACAAAAUUGUAAAGAAGAAAACUGGACAAAAGGAUAAGGAAACAGGAAUUGAUCAGGACAUGAGGAGGUGGACAUACUGGCUGAUUUCUAUCAUCCUGGCAAGGCCAGAGAAUAAGGUUGAGAUUCAAGGGUAGCCUGAGCAAAAGUUCCUAAGACCUUUGUUUUGGUGGUGUGUGCCUGUCAUCCUAGCAACUUCAGGAGUGUGAAUAAGAGGGUCCCUGUCCAGGCUGGCCCAGACAAAAAUCAAGACUUUACUGGAAAAAAAGACAGGACCUGAAGACCCUGAAUUUAAACCCUCAUACUGUCAAUAAUAAAGAAAUUAAGGUAGAAAAAAUUUCUAAGUGCUAUUUAAUAUAGUUAUAUCAGUGAAGGGAUUCAGCCUAAUCCGGUAUCAAGAAUGAACUAUUUUUGUAAAAAUACGAAUAUUUUUAAAAACUAAAGGAAGAGUCUAGCUAGUAUUAGGUAAAAGAUUCAUUUUUAAUUGAAUGAAAAGUUUCAAUGGUAUAAAUAUAGGCUGUUUUGUUAAAAAAGAAAAACAAAAGUAUCCCCAAGGUUAGGUAGGUCUCUUUGUCUUAAUUCUUUCCCAUCAUUUCAGCUCUUUUAAACUUUUAAAAAAUAUUUUAUUUACUACUCAGACAUUUUUGGGAGAAGUGGACUUUUAAGGAGGUUGAAAGCCAUUAACUAGUGGUUCCGUUAAAUAAAAAAAAAUUAUUUAAGUGUAAUUCAAAUUAUUCUAAAUUAUUUAGAGCAUUGUAAAUAAAUGUGGUAGUAUUUCCUUUCAUUUUUUUUGUUUUGUUUUGUUUUGCUUAAGUGUCUCAUAUCAUAGCUUGAACUUUAACCUGUAGCUCCAGGUUGCAUAAAACUCACUAUUAUCAUGCCUCUGCCUGUUUUAAGUGCUAGGAUUCCCACGCCUAGCUACAAAGGUUUUUUUUGUAUAUGAUUUGUAUUUGUUUAUAAUAAUAGUAAGAAUUAUUUUUAAAGUGGUACUCCUUGUCUGAGACUCUUGAAAUGUUUUGAACAUUGUUUUAUUUAAGCUUUUUCACUGGAUUUUUAAAAGACAAAGCUUUAAAAUACUCAAUUUUUCUUCAGUAUGGAAUGUAAUUAAAAUACAAUUAAUGUUUAACAUACAUCUCAAAUACAUUUGAACUGUCUGCUGCUUGGAAAGUGCAUAUGAGUAAUCAUAGUUACUUUCUGAUAAGCUUUCUGUAGACUCAUUUGCAGCUACCUGAGAACUUCACUCAUGUUUGGGUGCGGAGUCAGAAGUCAGUACUCUUUAGUGUUCUUUAUUGCUAAAGAUUAAGAUUUUCAUGUGAAAUCGCAUCACUUAUUUUUACUUUUCUGAUUUUAGAAAUUCUGAAGGAAGCUUAAGAGAAGUGGAGCUGUGGGUCAGUUUAAGAAUUAGGUGUUCUCUGAGAAGUCUUUUCAUAUUUAACCCAACAACAGAGGGUGAAAUGAGAUUCAGCUGGAAUAAAUCUUGAUCGUUAAUUGCCACUGUAUAAAUUACCACCAUGUGAAUGUAGAAACUAGAAGAGUGAGAAGAAUUUUUUCUUUGCUGAUGUCUUCCUAUUAUCCUGAGAAAGAAUUACAAAUGAAAGGAAUGACAGUAUUGGAGUAAAUUGACAGAACUUCCAUAAAACCAAAGCGUGGCAGAAAGAAAGUAAAUACUGAUGAAACUAUAGAUCACCCAAGGGUAUCUCCUUCCAAAAAGAAUGUGGCGUUUCACUCUGAGAAACAAGUGGACACCCCGUCCAUAGAACGCCAAAGCUUGUACAUCCGCAUAACUUA